AUGUGGACUGAUGUUGAUGUGGACAAGGACACAGCAGUUUCAUCCACUGGCUGGACGCUGCAGAGCAGCAGCUGGCCAUCGCUCAGGGACAGCGCAAUGCUCUGUGUGGGUAUGGCAGGAAACCUGCCUGGCAGAGCUGGCACAGUUUGGAGCAGGGUGUGGGCAUCGGACAUGAUACAACAUGAUGUGGAAGUAGCAGAUGUUGACAUGAUCAGGAAGGACUUGAUCUGUGGGGUCAGACCAGUUGGCAAGGUGGUGUUGGAGAGCCCUGGGAAAAUGAGCGACAGGGAGUGCAAUAAUUCCCCGCAGGUAAUAUCUCCACGGUCUUUUAUGCUGCCCCAUCUACAUCUGCCAGAAGACAGGUGGUAGGAGGGCAAGAAAUUUCUAAAAUAAGCUCUAGUGGUAGGGAACCUGAGGUAGACCACAGGAAAAGGUGAGUAGACUGUAUCAAGGAUGGGUGGUAAAACCCUGACAUGCCAAAUGUGCAAGAGAGAAGAAAUGGCCACUGCUGGCCAAGAGGUUCUUUGACAAAUACUGCUGCCAGGAAAAAAAAAAAAAGAAAGAAAAAAAAAAGGUUUGGGUAUAAGUCAGGAGGAGAUAGGCAAGUAUUUUCCAAAACCUUUUUUUUUUAAAAAAAAAAAAAGCCUAAAGCUAUUUCUAGCUCAUGACACCCAGUCUUCCUUGGAUCCAUGCCUUCCACCAGCUUUCAAGGGCUUUCUGCAGACUCAGGGCUAGCAGAUUGGCUGAAGUACUAAAGAAAUCACCCUAAGGCUUGUCCAUAGUUCCUGGGGGGAACACUGCCAGCCUCACAGGGAGCUCUUAGCCAAACCCGGGGGACUACUACAGAUCCAUAUUCUCCUCUUUUUAAAAAUGAGCCAUAGCUACAUGACCCAGCAGGGCAGAGCAGCAUGAAGGGAGAAAGGAUUAGGAUUUUCUGCUGCCUUUAAUAAAGCCAUUUUGUGCUCAGUGUUCCCA
rnacentral:lncRNA from 1 species